rnacentral:rRNA from 1 species
UACGUAGGCGGUGAUUCAAGUCAGAGGUGAAAGCCUGGAGCUCAACUCCAGAACUGCCUUUGAAACUAGAUCGCUAGAAUUAUGGAGAGGUUAGUGGAAUUCCGAGUGUAGAGGUGAAAUUCGUAGAUAUUCGGAAGAACACCAGUGGCGAAGGCGACUAACUGGACAUAUAUUGACGCUGAGGUACGAAAGCGUGGGGAGCAGACA